rnacentral:rRNA from 1 species
UACGUAGGGUGCAAGCGUUGUCCGGAAUUAUUGGGCGUAAAGAGCUCGUAGGCGGUCUGUCGCGUCGGCUGUGAAAACUCGGGGCUCAACUCCGAGCUUGCAGUCGAUACGGGCAGGCUAGAGUUCGGCAGGGGAGACUGGAAUUCCUGGUGUAGCGGUGAAAUGCGCAGAUAUCAGGAGGAACACCGGUGGCGAAGGCGGUGGUCUGGGCCGGCACUGACGCUGAGGAGCGAAAGCGUGGGUAGCAAACAGG